CGGCCUGAGGUCGGACGAGGCUACCCGCUGAAUUUAAGCAUAUUACUAAGCGGAGGAAAAGAAACUAACGAGGAUUCCCUCAGUAACGGCGAGUGAAGCGGGACGAGCCCAGCGCCGAAUCCGGCCGCUUAUGGAGCGGACGGAAUUGUGGCGUAUGGAAUUCGCUUCGAGCGCGGACCGGCUGCCCACGUCCUUCUGAUCGAGGCUUCAUCCCAUAGCGGGUGUCAGGCCCUUGGCGGCGGCUGGCCCGGGCUCUCGGUGUCUUCCCGGAGUCGGGUUGUUUGGGAAUGCAGCCCAAAUGCGGGUGGUAAACUCCAUCUAAGGCUAAAUACGGUCACGAGACCGAUAGCGAACAAGUACCGUGAGGGGAAAGUUGAAAAGCACUUUGGAGAGA
rnacentral:ncRNA from 1 species